AUAAAUCAGAAUAUCAUCAAAAUACAACUAUAAAUUUUCCAAUGAAAGUACACAAAACAUGAUUCAUUAAUCUCAUGAAAGUACUUGGUGCAUUAGUUAGCCCAAAUGGCAUCACUAACUACUCAUAUAAAUCAUGCUUUGUUUUAAAUGCAAUUUUUCAUUCAUCACCCUCUUUCAUUCUAAUCUAAUGACAGCCACUCAUCAAAUCUGUUCAGAUUGCCUCCUUCAAUGUUCUGAACUGUAACUGAGCUCGUGUACUCAUCUAGCUUGGCUUUAAUUGUCUCUCCUACCGACUUUUCUUGUUUAUUUUUUGCCCCCCAAGUUUCUGAACUGUUCCUCUUGUGUAUUUGAAAUGAUGUGCAUAAUUGAAGCGGUUGCAUAACCAAAUAUUACUGGAAUCUCACCAACCAUUAAACAAUCCUCUUCAUGUGUCUUGAUCUUGUUAAGCGUCAGAUGAAUCAUCAUCAUUACCCCAUCCUGUAGGCUGAUUAAAGUGGUAUGUCAGUUGAGGAUGGUUUAGAGUAUUUGAUAUAGAAAUCAAACUUGUCCGACGGUUGACCAAGCAAAUUCCACUCCUGAGUUGGUAGUAACUGAUGCUCUUCUUUGUCUUGAUUCUAAUUUUCGUUGUUAUCCUUAGUACCAAAGUCCCUCCAUGGUGCCGUUUGGCCCUCAGUCGCUAUAACCUUUUCUGUCCCCUAGUUAGCGGCCUAGGAAACUUCUUGUGUUGAACCAUAUUUCAUUUGCCAACAGGUGUGUCUCCAAAUGGUACUACGAACUGAACCUUUUCUUCUAUUGCAUUUGGCUUUGAUGCCCAGAUCCUGUGGUUUGUCUCACAGGUGCAACCUUUCUUUUUGGCCUCGUCUGCUGUCUAUCAGGAACCUUGUAGAUCUGCUAUUUAGGAACCCAAGUCAGCUUCAGCUUUGGUCCAUAAUCUUUCUAUGUGUGAUAUCUAGCUUUUCCGAUCCCAAAAGUGCCUUUAGAUUAAUAUUGUUGAUAUUGACUGUUAUCACUGGUGGAAAUGGGUCCUCAUCUAUCAACAUUCAGCUUACGCUUUUCUCCAUGAAUUUGGAAACAACUUUGUUGAUCUUGUCCUCGACCAAAUUUCUGAAUGUCCAAUAGUAGUUGUUAUGAUGAGUCCAAACAUUGUGGUAUUUACAGUAGUGUUUGCCCUUCACCUCUUCUUUGGAUGCCAAUUUGUCUCCCUAUGGAAGAGUCAAACUUUUCCUUUAAAAAAAAAAAUCAAAAUCUCUUCUGCCCUUGUUAUGUCAAAAGAAUACUGUUACUGGGGUGGCAAAGGGUUAGAAGAGGCUCUUCUUCAUGGUUUUGGAGGUUUUGUCUGUUUACAUAAAGCAAGAUAGACACAACUUCUCAUGUUAGCAAAAUCAGUAAUAUGGGCAUCAUGAAAUAUUUUCUAAAAAUAUGUGUCCAUGGAGGUUUUCCUUUUUUGGUUUUCUUCUCUAAGCAGUUCUUCAUAACUUGUCAUUUUCGUAGCAAGCUCAAAGAAAUUCUUGAAUUCCAUGUCUUGAAAUUUCUUUCUAAGCUCAAUAUCUAGGUUGCCUUGGGCCAACUUGACAAACUUACAUUCAGGUAAAAAUUUGCAUCUAUUGCGCAUAUUCUUAAACCUAGCAAUGUAUAAGUCCACAGAUCUCCUGGCCUUUUGGUAAAUCCUAGAUAAUUCAGCAAUAGAUACUUUAUGUUCAAUUUUAUAAAAUUGUGUGUAAAAUAAGUGCUCUAUGUCUUGUCAAGUGUGCACAGUUUCUCUAAGUAAUGAAGCAUAAUAAGAAGAAGCAACUGCUAUUAUGAAAUUGGGAAACAACUAUGUUAAAUGUCAAAAUUGUUAUAAGUAGUGGGUUCACCACAUUGAACAGUAAAUCUACCAAUAUGUUCUAAGGUGGAUUGUAUGCUAUCACCUGAGAAUAAAGUGAAUUCAGAUAUCUUAUAACCUUUAGGGUAGGGAUUAUUCUUAUCCAUCUAGGUGGGAUAGGGUUUGUGAAACUCAGGACGGCCUACCUGUCGAAGGCUAGCAAGUGAGGAAGGUGAGUUUGUCAUCAGCCAAGGAACAAGAGAAAACCCCACCAUAGGCCUUGGGAGGACCUACGGUGGCGUGCAAGGAAGAGGAAAGGGCGGUGCCAAUUAGGAAAAGGGAAGGAAGAGGAAGAAACGCGAAGAAAAAAUCCUUUGUUGAUAGGAUGAGAUGGA
rnacentral:misc_RNA from 1 species